UACGGAGGGAGCUAGCGUUGUUCGGAUAUACUGGGCGUAAAGCGCACGUAGGCGGCGCAGCAAGUCAGGGGUGAAAUCCCGGAGCUCAACUCCGGAACUGCCUUUGAAACUGCAGUGCUAGAAAUUCUGGAGAGGCGAGUGGAAUCCGAGUGUAGAGGUGAAAUUCGUAGAUAUUCGGGAAGAACACCAGUGGCGAAGCGACUCGCUGGACAGAUAUUGACGCUGAGGUGCGAAAGCGUGGGGAGCAAACAGG
rnacentral:rRNA from 1 species